GGCGGCGUGCCUAACACAUGCAAGUCGACCUGAGCGACGAACGGGUGAGUAACACGUGGGUAACCUGCCCUUGACUUUGGGAUAACUCCGGGAAACCGGAGCUAAUACCGGAUAGUCAGGGAUGGGCCCGCGGCCUAUCAGCUUGUUGGUGGGGUGAUGGCCUACCAAGGCGACGACGGGUAGCCGGCCUGAGAGGGUGUUCGGCCACACUGGGACUGAGACACGGCCCAGACUCCUACGGGAGGCAGCAGUGGGGAGUCUUGCACAAUGGGCGCAAGCCUGAUGCAGCGACGCCGCGUGCGGGAUGACGGCCUUCGGGUUGUAAACCGCUUUCAGCAGGGACGCGGUACCUGCAGAAGAAGCCCCGGCCAACUACGUGCCAGCAGCCGCGGUAAUACGUAGGGGGCGAGCGUUGUCCGGAUUUAUUGGGCGUGAAGAGCUCGUAGGUGGCUGGUCAAGUCGGGUGUGAAAUCCCAAGGCUCAACCUUGGGUCUGCAUUCGAUACUGGUUGGCUUGAGUCUGGUAGGGGGACCUGGAAUUCCUGGUGUAGCGGUGGAAUGCGCAGAUAUCAGGAGGAACACCGGUGGCGAAGGCGGGGUCCUGGGCCAGUACUGACGCUGAGGAGCGAAAGCGUGGGGAGCAAAC
rnacentral:rRNA from 1 species